rnacentral:rRNA from 1 species
CCCGCACAAGCGGUGGAGCACGUGGUUUAAUUCGAAGCAACGCGAAGAACCUUACCAGGUCUUGACAUCCCCUGACAACCCGAGAGAUCGGGCGUUCCCCCUUCGGGGGACAGGGUGACAGGUGGUGCAUGGUUGUCGUCAGCUCGUGUCGUGAGAUGUUGGGUUAAGUCCCGCAACGAGCGCAACCCUCGACCUUAGUUGCCAGCAUUCAGUUGGGCACUCUAAGGUGACUGCCGGCUAAAAGUCGGAGGAAGGUGGGGAUGACGUCAAAUCGUCAUGCCCCUUAUGACCUGGGCUACACACGUGCUACAAUGGGCGGUACAAAGGGUCGCGAACCCGCGAGGGGGAGCCAAUCCCAAAAAGCCGCUCUCGGUUCGGAUUGCAGGCUGCAACUCGCCUGCAUGAAGCCGGAAUCGCUAGUAAUCGCGGAUCAGCAUGCCGCGGUGAAUACGUUCCCGGGCCUU